rnacentral:rRNA from 1 species
UACGUAGGUGGCAAGCGUUGUUCGGAAUUAUUGGGCGUAAAGGGCGCGUAGGCGGUUUGUUAAGUCAGCUGUGAAAGCCCGGGGCUCAACCCCGGAGAGUCGACUGAUACUGGCAGACUAGAGUACGGAAGAGGUAGCUGGAAUUCCCGGUGUAGCGGUGAAAUGCGUAGAGAUCAGGAGGAACACCGGUGGCGAAGGCGGCAUCCUGGACCGGCAUUGACGCUGAGGCGCGAAAGCCAGGGGAGCAAACGGG